rnacentral:rRNA from 1 species
UACGUAGGGUGCAAGCGUUAAUCGGAAUUACUGGGCGUAAAGGGCGCGCAGGCGGCGCAUUUUGUCAGGCGUGAAAGCCCCGGGCUUAACCUGGGAACUGCGUUUGAUACGGAUGGGCUAGAGUUCAGGAGAGGAGAGUGGAAUUCCUGGUGUAGCGGUGAAAUGCGCAGAUAUCAGGAAGAACACCCGUGGCGAAGGCGGCUCUCUGGGACGGUACUGACGCUGAGACGCGAAAGCGUGGGGAGCGAACAGG